rnacentral:lncRNA from 1 species
AAGUUUUAUUGAACUAUAGUUGAUUUACAAUGUUGUGAUGAUUUUUGCUGUACAACAAAGUGAUCCAGUUAUACAUGUACACACAUCUGUUCUCUCUCAGAAUCUUUUCCCACAUAGAUGAUCUCAGAAUGUUGGAUAGAGUUCUCUGUGCUAUAUAGCAGGUCCCUGUUGGCCGGUCAUUCCAUAUACCACAGUGUGCACAUGCCAGUCCCAAACCCCCAGUCAUCCCUCUCCCUAUCACCUGCCCCUUUGGUAUCCAUAAGUUUGUUUUCAGACUCUGUGAGUCUGUUUCUGUCCUGCAAUUAAGUUCAUUUGUAUCAUAUUUUUAGAUUCUACAUGUAAGUGAUAUCAUAUCUCAUUAUCUGUGUUACACACUACAGAAUCAAUCACAUUUCUCUUUUAUUUUCUCACGUUAAAUGUAACUUCAUUUUCCUCAAGCUCAAAAUUUAUCCUCAAAAUCUUCCCAGUGCAGCUGCUCCUUCUCCAACAUCAGGACCAGAGGCUGAGAUGGUCCUGCUCUCCUGCUGUCCUUCUCCUCACUGCCUCUUCCGGUCAUUACUUUCCCAGUUCACCAGACUGCAUCUUCAUGGAAGUUGAUGGCAUCUGUGACAUCUCCCUCCACCUUAUUCACCAAUAUCAGGGCUGGCUCUACCAUCAUUCACCAUUCAAGAGAAUAAUGCUCCCAAGCGCCGAUCCCUCCCCAGGUUCCUCAGCUGGCCUAACAAGGGGAGGUGUGGUCACACACACCUUGACAACUUCAUGCUCACAAACUGAAACAGCCCUGGCUAAUCACAGUUGACUGUCCACUGUCACACCACUUUCCCAUCAUCACCCUCUGCUGCUGAACCUUAGCACAGAUUCGGUGGUGUGAAUAUGACCUCAAUUACAAAAAUGAGGACAGCUGGCUUUCUGAAAGGUUGACAUCAUUAGUAGCUUUGAAGAUUUGGUUUCUAAGCAAAAGUCAUAAAAGUCGGGAAAAGAGUCACUGCCUUUAAGAAAGAAAAUCCUCCUUUUGAUUUAGCAAAGCAAACUCAUCUGUCUGCUAAUUUUAAUUUUUAUCAGGCCCUUUGCCAUCCGGCCCUAACUUCUUUCAUUUCCUAUUUCCCCGCCAUCUUCCUCAAUCCUGCACCCUUUCUACCCCCAUAACCCUGGCUCUCUAGCCACCCCAGCCACUCUUAACUUCCUAGGCAUGUGGUUGGUGCCUUUUCUUGUGGUUUAUCCUUCUACUGGAAGCCUGUAUCCCCCCUGCAAAUUUCCAUCCCUUCUUUGGUUUGGUUCACAUACAACUUUCUUUUCAAAUCCUUUUCCCAGCUCUAUUAGGAUUAUUCAUUCCCAGGGUUUUUGAGUGUGUCAAGCACUUUAGAGGAUAUAGGGGUUCAUCAAUAAAAAGUGAGUGUGUCAAGCACUUUAGAGGAUAUAGGGGUUCAUCAAUAAAGAGAACAGACUAGAAUCCUUGCCUUCCUGGAACUCACCUUUCAGAGGGAGGGAACAAGAGGAGACAAUUUAAAAAUACCGUAUGAACUGUAUCUGAUCACUUUUGAUGGAACAUGAUGGAGGAUAAUGUGAAAAACAGAAUGUGUGUAUCUAUAUAUAUACAUAUGUGUGUGUGUGUAUAACUGGGAUACUUUACUGUAUAGCAGAAAAUGACAGCAACUAAAAUUUAAAAAACUAAAAAAUUAAAAAUAAAUAAAAAAUAGAAGAAAACCAUAAAAAAUUAAGUCAAGUAAAAUUAAAAAACUAAAACAUUAAAAAUAGGAGUUCCCAUCAUAGCACAAUGGAAACGAAUCCGACUAGGAACCACGAAGUUGCAGGUUCGAUCCCUUGCCCCACUCGUUGGGUUAAGGACCUGGCAUUGCUAUGGCUGUGGUGUAGGGAUCGAACCUGUGUUCCCACGGAUGCUAAUCAGAUUCGUUUCUGCUGAGCCACAAGGGGAACUCCCUAAAUGAUAUUAUUGAACCCAUAAAUGGCUACAAUACUUAUCAAAGGUAGCAAAUCUAAGAGUGAGACUUAAUGACAUAUACCAUGUGUAAGUCUCAACCAAAAUAAAUCAGAAGCUAGAGACCCACUGACAAAUUUUACAGAUGCAAAGCCCUCCAAGAAUAAGUUAAAGUGACUCAUGACGAACAAAGAAGGAUUUCUUCCUGCUGAGAUGACCUCACUGAAGAGUAAAACUAUCUCUAGAAUAUCUAUGUCAGUUAUGUCAAGGGGGGCAGUUGUGCAGUGUGGGUCUGUGUUAGGUACUCAUUUGGCAAAAUGACCUCAACAGUGAAGCAGAGGGAACACAUUCAGGUUGGGUGUCUCACAUUUCAGACCUUGUGGUUAUAAUUUUAAAGGAAGCCCAUGAACACAGGCUGGAAUCAUGCUUUUGUCAUAAAUAAAGCAUUUAGUCUCCUUGUUAGAAUGACAGAUUAUCCAUAAAACCUAAGAGAAAAAGAAUGUGGGAUAUAUAUCUCCAUAGUACUCUCAGAAUAUAAUUGUUUCUGUACAAUCAUUAUGGUUUUUAUGUCUUUGAGGAGGUUUUGCCCAAGUUGUGGCCAAUACAUAGGUUAUUUUUACACACCAAUUUCGAUUGAUUAGUAGUGGCUGGCCAGACUCCUGUACCGAGAAGAAUGUACACCAGAUCUACUAUCAGCAGGCAAGACUGCUACAAUCAAUUAUUAAUGUCUGCCUUGGGCAAGGGUUAAUAAUAUCACAUAUGCUUGGCUUCAAAGGAUGGUAAUACAUUAUUGCAUGAAGCAGGCAUGGUGAUGGAGGAGAAAAUGUAACUCGAGACCUGGAAAGAAAGAUGAGACAGCAAGAAGAGAGACGAUAAUUGUUUUAUCCAGCUGUCCCUCCUCACUUGUAAAUUCUCCUUCUUUUGCUAAAAUCAUGGGUUCAUUUAUUUUUGCUUUGUUUUAACAAGGCAGGUUAACUCCUUUACAAAGCACAAACUAGGUAAACCCAAGGACAUUAAAAAAUGAGAGGAUAGCACUGUAUCUGGUGGGGUUUGGUCAGCAAAGCAGAAUCCACUACAGAUAUUUCAAGGAGGAAGAGAUUUUAUCCAGGGCUCUGAAGCAGAACUCAAUAAUAGAAGGGAGUCAUGUACACAGGAUGCAGAGCCCCCCCCCCGCAAUACCCCAAAACCCAAGUAACAAUGAACUGAGGACUCAGAUUUAGAGGGUGUCCGUCAGAUCUUUAAUGACGAAAAGCUGGUCAGUGUGUUCAGGGCACAGUGUUCGUGCUACUAAUCUUGGCUUUCAGGUGGGUGUUUGGGAGUGUGGAAGAUGAGGAAUGGAAACAGGUGAAUUUUCAUCCUAAGAGCGAAGUGAGGCUCCCCAGGCGGGCCCUGGCUCUGCAUGACAGCUUCCCAGAAACAGGUGCGGCUGUGACAGGCAGCCUGGGUGUCAGCAGCCAGCCUCCACCCUCCACCCUGCUCCAUCUCUGUUGCCGAAGAAAAGCUUAGCUGGCCUUAUAUUUCCUACUAAAUGCUGUUCGAGGAGCUCUGGGGAUACAGAGCACUUAGCAAAUGACUGCUUAUCUCAGCCACUGCCCCUCUUUCCUCUGCUACCCCCCAAAAUGACAUAAAACCCCAAACCCAAUGCUUUAGUUUAUAUUGACAGCACAUUAUGUCAUCAGUGCAUCCAUUAAACAAGUGUGAUUAAACACAAGUUUAAACUUACUGUUAACCUUUCCUAAUAAUUACAGAUCAUAAAACAGCCUUGUACAGUAUAAUUAUUUUUGUUCAUUGUCCAGAUGCUUGAAGAUCUCAGUAUGCUAUUUUUUUUCUGGCAAAUUGACCUCCACUUUCUUUAAAAUUCUAUUCCAGCAGAGAGUAAAUCCUCCCCUCACCUUGCAUCUUAAGUUCAUGUUGUUCUUGUUAUCAAUGCCCUAGAUUUGGGUGAGCUUCACUACAAUCCCAUUAUUGAGGAAUUGAUGUUUACAACUUUUUCCUUUUAAUUCCAAUUCUCAUGUAGACUUCUAAAUAAUUAGUUAACAUUCAAGGUAGUUCCCUAAGAGUCAGGGAGAAGAUAAGAAUAACCAAUAUUACAGUUACUAUUUAACAUUGUUCUAACCAAUGAGAUAAUACAAAUAAAAAAGAGAGAUAAGAGUGACAUAAUUGUAGGAGGAGAAGACGCAAAGCUAUUACUACCUUAAAAAAAUCAGAAACAAAAAUCAAAUAUGGUACACUAUUUGUUCCGGCAAUAAAGAUGUUAAACGGGUCUAAUAAUGUAAAUAGUGACUACUGUUUUGUUUUUUUUUUAAUAUACACAUAUGUUAUUUGGGAGGAAAUAAAGGAGCAAAGGAGUUAAAAGAAAGUGAACCUUUUACCUAGAAAAUCUAUGGACGUUGAUACAUCAAGAAAGAGUAGUAUAAUCAGAACAUUUAGAAAUAAGAAGAAAAGUGCUGAAAAAAAACCCUCAAAAAUUGCUUAACCAUUUAAGUAGUAGCUUCUGGGGAGGACAGAUGAGGGUGGAAAGGGUUGUGAUAAGGAGAUUGAUUUUUUUCAUGACAAGCUUUUCAAUGUUAUUUGCUAUUGAUUUAUUUAACUAUGUGAUGGAGAAGCAUUUUCCCUUUUCACCUUAUGAAUGUAGACUCUGCAAAUUCUACUACAACAGGUAAUACCUUGUAUUUAAAAAAAUAAGAAUUUCUUAAGCCAAGAAAAUCCUCUGAACAUCUGCUAAAAUUUAAGUAUCUACAAUAAGAUGAACAAAAACCAACAGCUUUUUUAUUGGCCACAUCCAUGGCAUGUGGAAGUUCCUGGGCCAAGGAUGGAACAUGCACCAUAGCAGUGACCAGAGCUGCUACAGUGACAAUAC